CCCCUGAAAGUUGCUCCCAAAGUGAAAGCCACGGCCGCCCCCGCAGGAGCGCCAUCACAGCCUCAGGACCUUGAGUUUACCAAAUUACCAAACGGCUUAGUGAUUGCUUCUCUG